ACCCAGGCUUUCCUCAAAGCCCCCCAAAUUACUCCUAAAAGUAAACU
rfam:Anolis carolinensis unplaced genomic scaffold chrTn0003, whole genome shotgun sequence.